rnacentral:misc_RNA from 1 species
GAUGAGAACGCAGCGAAAUGCGAUAAGUAAUGUGAAUUGCAGAAUUCAGUGAAUCAUCGAAUCUUUGAACGCACAUUGCGCCCGCUAGUAUUCUGGCGGGCAUGCCUGUCCGAGCGUCAUUUCAACCCUCAAGCCCCCGGGCUUGGUGUUGGGGAUCGGCGAGCCUCCGCGCCCGCCGUCCCCUAAAUCUAGUGGCGGUCUCGCUGUAGCUUCCUCUGCGUAGUAGCACACCUCGCACUGGGAAACAGCGCGGCCACGCCGUUAAACUCCCAACUUCUGAACGUUUGACCUCGGAUCAGGUAGGAAUACCCGCUGAACUUAAGCAUAUCAAUAAGCGGAGGA